GCAGUCGUGCGGGAAAGGGGGGUUUUUUUCUCCCAGUACCGCGGCAAACGGGUGAGUAACACGUGAGUAACCUGUCCUCGGGUCUGGGAUAACCACCCGAAAGGGUGGCUAAUACUGGAUAAAGUCAUUGGGCGCAAGUUCAGUGAUGAAAGGGAGCCUCUGUAUAGCAAGCUCCUGCCUGAGGGGGGGCUCGCGGCCCAUCAGCUAGUUGGUGGGGUAACGGCCCACCAAGGCUAAGACGGGUAGCCGGCCUGAGAGGGUGGUCGGCCACACGGGCACUGAGACACGGGCCCGACUCCUACGGGAGGCAGCAGGGGGGGAUCUUGGGCAAUGGGCGCAAGCCUGACCCAGCGACGCCGCGUGGGGGAAGAAGGCCUUCGGGUCGUAAACCCCUGUUCUGGGGGAAGAACCUUGCCUUAGUGAAUAGCUAAGGCAAGCUGACGGUACCCAAGGAGAAAGCCACGGCUAACUGCGUGCCAGCAGCCGCGGUAAUACGCAGGUGGCAAGCGUUGCCCGGAAUCACUGGGCGUAAAGGGUGCGUAGGCGGCUGGGUAAGUCGCAGGUUAAAGCCCGGGGCUCAACCCUGGACAGGCCUGCGAUACUGCCUGGCUUGAGGGCUGGAGAGGCUGGCGGAAUUCCCGGUGUAGGGGUGAAAUCCGUAGAUAUCGGGAGGAACACCGGUGGGGG
rnacentral:rRNA from 1 species